GCGGGGGCCCCGGGUGGACACUUCAAACUCUUGCGUAACUUUGCAGUCUGAGUAAAUUUAAUUAAUAAAUUAAAACUUUCAACAACGGAUCUCUUGGUUCUGGCAUCGAUGAAGAACGCAGCGAAAUGCGAUAAGUAAUGUGAAUUGCAGAAUUCAGUGAAUCAUCGAAUCUUUGAACGCACAUUGCGCCCCCUGGUAUUCCGGGGGGCAUGCCUGUUCGAGCGUCAUUUCACCACUCAAGCCUCGCUUGGUAUUGGGCGACGCGGUCCGCCGCGCGCCUCAAAUCGACCGGCUGGGUCUUCCGUCCCCUCAGCGUUGUGGAAACUAUUCGCUAAAGGGUGCCGCGGGAGGUCACGCCGCAAAACAACCCCAUUUCUAAGGUUGACCUCGGAUCAGGUAGGGAUACCCGCUGAACUUAAGCAUAUCAUAG
rnacentral:rRNA from 1 species